rnacentral:snRNA from 1 species
GUAUUCACUUCAAAACACAUGUAUUAAAAUUGGAAUAAUAUAGAGAAGAUUAGCCUGGCUCCU